ACAGAGCACAUAAAAUAAUAAAACUUAAAUAAAAGAAGACGAGUCCAAAAGAGGGACCAACAUUAACGUUUUCUUUUUUUUUUUUUUUUUUGCUAAAAUUUGGUGCAUAUAUUAUAAAGGAGGCAAAAGCAUACAUAAUGUGAGAAUAUUACAAUGCUCUAGUGGAUAAAGUUAGUAAAUUCAUUCUGAGCCCCACAUGGUUCUUGGUCUCGAGAGAGAGUAGCCCAAAGGAAAACAUGGGCUUAGGAGCUUUUGCAGUAGAAGAAAUAAAGCCCAGAAUCAAAAUAUUCGUUGUCUUCCUCAAUGAAGUAAUCGAAAGGUCUCACGGUAGAGAGAACCAGAGUUGCAUGCAGGCACUCGAUUCCAUUGGGUCAGUUUCACGGAGCGAUGAGAUACGGUUUUUGACGGUGGAGGAGAUGGUUGAGAAUAUAGCUUCCUGCGACUUGAAGUGAGAUCGGUGGAGCCUAUUGUUGCGCUCACGCCAUAGUUCAUGAAUCAGCGUUUGCCAGGAUAGGAUUGUGAGAUAGCGCAACCGGUUAUCACCAGUGUAACGGAUCAGACCUUGCAAAGUAUCAUCCCAAUCGUCUGAGAUAAUGGCAAACUGAAGUUUCGCAGCAAGGUUUCUCCAAAUUCCAGAGGAGAAGGAGCAACAGAAAUAAAUGUGAUUUCUGCUCUCUGGAAGUAGGUUACACAGAAGACAGAGAGGAUCCGUCUGCAAUCCCCAAGACAGUAACCUAUCACGAGUGGGGCACCUAUUGAGUACAAACAUCCAAGAGUGGUACCCAGUCUGCUCCAUUCCGGCAUGUCCUCAUGUUCUGAGAGAGAUACAGUUGAUAGAAAAAUCUGGACUUGCUCCAUCUCCUGAGAUCUUGCCGGACCUAUAUCCCAAGUUUCUCCAACCCACAGCGAAGCUAGAGAUGAAGAGAGGGGAAUACCAUACUGUCUCGGUCCAUUAUGACCAACAAAGUUGAUGAGUUGGCCAAAUGGAGACCAUGGCGUUGUCCAGAAGAAGAUUGAAUUCCCAUUUCCUGAUUCUGUUUUAAAGAAAAGCAUCCAGAGAAGCUUUAAAGUGCAAGUACGGUUCCAUGAUGCAAUACUUCGAAUGCCUAAUCCCCCCUCUUCCUUAGGUGUCGUAACUGAAUCCCAAGCCACGCGUGCUGUAUACUUCCCCUCCAGAUUACCUUUCCAUAGAAAGGCCGCACACAUCGAGUUGAUCUGAUUGAUGCAUUCCACUGGGAGGAUGAAAGCAGCACACCAGAAAUUGAUAAUCCCCGAGAUCACUGAGCUUAAGAGUUGGAGUCUUCCUGCGAAAGACAGGUAUUUUACUGUCCAAGAGCUCAUUUUUGACUUGAUUUUUUGCAGUAGCGGUUCACAGUUGAUGAGCGAAAGCUUUUUUGUGUUCAAUGGGAGGCCUAGGUAGCGCAUAGGCAAGAAGCCUUGCGGGAUUCCGGAAGAAGCGACAAGGUCUUCAAUCUCCACAUUUGAGAUGCCAGCCGAGAACAAACAUGAUUUCUGAGGACUGAUUGCCAGCCCUGAAAUUAUCUGGAAGUCGGAAAGUACUGAGAUGAUGCCUUGCAAUGAGGGAAGCGAACCGUCUGAGAAGAUCAAGAGGUCAUCUGCAAAACAGAGGUGGGUAAGUUUUGAAUCUUUACAUCUUGGGUGAUACCCAAAUGUUCCAUCUUCAGCCGCUUUAUUAAGCUUGUGUGACAGCACAUUCAUUGCUAUACCAAACAGGUAAGGGCUAAGCGGAUCUCCUUGACGCAACCCUCGAGUACCACGGAAGAAGCCAUGGAGUGAACCAUUAAUUCCAACA